rnacentral:rRNA from 1 species
CGGCGCACGGGUGCGUAACGCGUAUAGAACCUACCUUUUACAGAGGAAUAGCCUUUAGAAAUGAAGAUUAAUGCCUCAUGGUAUUGUAGACUGGCAUCAGUUUAUAAUUAAAGAUUUAUCGGUAAAAGAUGGCUAUGCGUCCUAUUAGUUAGUUGGUAAGGUAACGGCUUACCAAGACAGCGAUAGGUAGGGGUCCUGAGAGGGAGAUCCCCCACACUGGUACUGAGACACGGACCAGACUCCUACGGGAGGCAGCAGUGAGGAAUAUUGGACAAUGGAGGAGACUCUGAUCCAGCCAUGCCGCGUGUAGGAAGAAUGCCCUAUGGGUUGUAAACUACUUUUAUACAGGAAGAAACACUGGUAUGUAUACCAGCUUGACGGUACUGUAAGAAUAAG